GCCGGCUUAGCUCAGCAGGUAGAGCACCUGAUUUGUAAUCAGGCGGUCGCGGGUUCAAAUCCUGCAGCCGGCACCA
rnacentral:tRNA from 1 species